AGAGUUUGAUCCUGGCUCAGAACGAACGCUGGCGGCGUGGAUAAGACAUGCAAGUCGAACGAGAGAAUUGCUAGCUUGCUAAUAAUUCUCUAGUGGCGCACGGGUGAGUAACACGUGAGUAACCUGCCCCCGAGAGCGGGAUAGCCCUGGGAAACUGGGAUUAAUACCGCAUAGAAUCGCAAGAUUAAAGCAGCAAUGCGCUUGGGGAUGGGCUCGCGGCCUAUUAGUUAGUUGGUGAGGUAACGGCUCACCAAGGCGAUGACGGGUAGCCGGUCUGAGAGGAUGUCCGGCCACACUGGAACUGAGACACGGUCCAGACACCUACGGGUGGCAGCAGUCGAGAAUCAUUCACAAUGGGGGAAACCCUGAUGGUGCGACGCCGCGUGGGGGAAUGAAGGUCUUCGGAUUGUAAACCCCUGUCAUGUGGGAGCAAAUUAAAAAGAUAGUACCACAAGAGGAAGAGACGGCUAACUCUGUGCCAGCAGCCGCGGUAAUACAGAGGUCUCAAGCGUUGUUCGGAAUCACUGGGCGUAAAGCGUGCGUAGGCUGUUUCGUAAGUCGUGUGUGAAAGGCGCGGGCUCAACCCGCGGACGGCACAUGAUACUGCGAGACUAGAGUAAUGGAGGGGGAACCGGAAUUCUCGGUGUAGCAGUGAAAUGCGUAGAUAUCGAGAGGAACACUCGUGGCGAAGGCGGGUUCCUGGACAUUAACUGACGCUGAGGCACGAAGGCCAGGGGAGCGAAAGGGAUUAGAUACCCCUGUAGUCCUGGCAGUAAACGGUGCACGCUUGGUGUGCGGGGAAUCGACCCCCUGCGUGCCGGA
rnacentral:rRNA from 1 species